rnacentral:rRNA from 1 species
GAAUGAACGUUUGGCGCCCCGCCCUUUUCGUACCCAAGCCGACAGGAAAAAGUUACCUUAGGGUAACUAAACCCCGGGGCUGGGUCCGUUAAUGCAUAUACAAUCCGCCUUCACAGAGAGUUUCGCCCUGAAUAUACUUUGAAUUAAUACCUUAAUGGUUUCAUAAAGAGCGGCGUGGUUUUUUAUUUUAAACUCUUCGGUGGUGAAAAGAAUGAGCUGCGUUCUAUUAGCUAGUCGCAAAUGAUUACGGCCCCCCCCCAGGCGGCCAAUAGAUAGGGGUUCUGCAGAGGGGAAGUUACUCACCCUGGUAUUCAUAUUCGGACCAGAUUCCUAUGGUAGGCAGCAGUGAGGAAUUAUUGAACAAUAGUCGGAAGUCUGAUCCAGGCCGUCGCGCGUGCAGGAUUAAGGUCCUAUGGAUUGUAAACUGCACUGGUAAGGGACGUAUGAGGAGGACCGUUCUCAAUCCGAUGUCUCGUAAUCCUCUCAAAUAGCUAGUGCCAUAGCCGGGUAAUACGGAGGAUUCGAGCGUUAUCCUCAAUCAUUAGUUUAAAGGGUCCGUAGGCGCUCUGAUAAGUCAGAGGUGAAAUUCCUUAGCCCAACUAAGCAUUUGCCUUCGAAACUAUCAGCCAUGAACGAUUGUAAAGUAGUUGGAUUAUGUAGUGCACCGGCGAAAUCCUCAGACAUUACACAGCCCUUCGAUAGCGAAGGCAUAUUACUAACAAUUUAUUCACGCAGAUGUUCGAAAGCGUGGGGAGCGAACACG